CCCGCCCCCCGGGCAGAGCACAUGGCACGGCCACGCACUAGAACCGCCUCCCUCCCCGCACGCCGGAUGGUACCGCCCGCCAGGCUCUACCCUCCCUCCCCGCACACGAGAUGGGAAUGGGGAAAGCAGAAACACAUACAGAUGUCAAAUCAAAACACAUUUGUUCUUAGUGUGGCGCCCCCACUCCCCCACCCUGGGAAUUUACUCGGCAGCUUGUUGUUUCCUAGAUAAAUAUGGACUAUGCAGCACAAAUGGAAUGUACCUGUUGGACAAUCAAAGGAGUUGCUCCGUUCCUAUGGACCCC